CUUUAGCCCCGAUUGCAGUGAAAAUCCUUUUACUUUUUUUGUUUAAAAAAGUAAAAGAUUGCAACGGAAAGCGGGAACGGUA
rnacentral:sRNA from 1 species